UCGGACUUGUAUAUAAAAGCUCAGGCGGUUAUACUGUCAGCUAUUACCCCAGAAUGUGACUGUGUUUGAUGAAUGAAUGUGCCGGUAUUUAGGAAGCUAAAAUUGUUGCUAUGGUGCUUCGGUGAGGAGUGUUACUGGUUGAGGACCAUUUAAAAUGAACUAGUGAAGGCAAAAACAUUAUUGAACAUGGUGAAAAACUUGAACAUCUUGACAUCACAUCUUGAACACAACAGUGACUGAGUAUUGUUUAGGUGACUGGACAUGAAGAGACAAAUACAUUGCGGAAUUGAAAUGUUUCCCAAGGGGACGCUACUGAGAAGCUGGCUCACCAAGUCCCGACCCAGACUGCUGCUGCUUAUCGCCGGCUUGAAGAGACCACAGGUCACCCUCAUGCGGAGGAAAAGGAUGAAGCGCACAAAAGUAGCAAAGGCC